UUGCCAUUACUAAUGCGGGCAAACAUUCAGGCAAUCAUCCUGAUUCUUCCAGCAGUGUCUACCAGGAAACAUUGUUGCACAACACCAACAGGUGUCACCAUCACAUUUAUUCCUCAUGCAAAAUAUUAUCGGAGGACCAGUGUACCGGUCGGUACCUUUGUUCUCUUCUAGCUCGCGGCCACCUGUUCUCCCAAUCAAUAACAAAACACAUACAUAGGAAUAUUAGAAAAUAAUCUGGUUGAACAAUCUGCAUAUCUGCAGGUUUUGUUGCAAAGAGAUAGGUGUAUCUAAUAUGAUACAAAUUGUUUUUGCCGUAAAGAGAUGGCUAUACUUACAGUGCACAGAGAACGCAUGGCAUCCAAGCAGCGCAAAGAAUAGAACCGUUGCCAACUUCAUAUUCAUAUUGGCCGCCGAACCUGGUGGGAGUUCUGAUUGACGAUCUCGUCUAGCCUAAGUUCACCAGCAC
rnacentral:lncRNA from 1 species